rnacentral:rRNA from 1 species
UGAAUCCCUUGGCUUAACCAGAGAAGGGCAUUUGAAACUGCCUGGCUUGAGUACGGGAGGGGGAAGCGGAAUUCCCGGUGUAGAGGUGAAAUUCGUAGAUAUCGGGAGGAACACCGGUGGCGAAGGCGGCUUUCUGGACCGAUACUGACGCUGAGACGCGAAAGCGUGGGGAGCAAACAGGAUUAGAUACCCUGGUAGUCCACGCUGUAAACGUUGGGCACUAGGUGUUGUGGGUAUUGACCCCUGCAGUGCCAAGGGCGAAUUCCACAGUGGA